GAUGAACGCUGGCGGCGUGCCUAAUACAUGCAAGUCGAGCGAACAGACGAGGAGCUUGCUCCUCUGACGUUAGCGGCGGACGGGUGAGUAACACGUGGAUAACCUACCUAUAAGACUGGGAUAACUUCGGGAAACCGGAGCUAAUACCGGAUAAUAUAUUGAACCGCAUGGUUCAAUAGUGAAAGACGGUUUUGCUGUCACUUAUAGAUGGAUCCGCGCCGCAUUAGCUAGCUGGUAAGGUAACAGCUUACCAAGGCAACGAUGCGUAGCCGACCUGAGAGGGUGAUCGGCCACACUGGAACUGAGACACGGUCCAGACUCCUACGGGAGGCAGCAGUAGGGAAUCUUCCGCAAAGGGCGAAAGCCUGACGGAGCAACGCCGCGUGAGUGAUGAAGGUCUUCGGAUCGUAAAACUCUGUUAUUAGGGAAGAACAAAUGUGUAAGUAACUAUGCACGUCUUGACGGUACCUAAUCAGAAAGCCACGGCUAACUACGUG
rnacentral:rRNA from 1 species